rnacentral:lncRNA from 1 species
UACUGUGGAUUCAUUUUUAUUCGUGGUAUACCAAUUUUCGUGGGUUUCGUGGGACACAGCGAACCACGAAUUUAAGAAUUCAACGAAAAAUAAUCCCAAGAAAUGUAUAUGGAGUCGGAUUUUUAUUUCCGGUUAUGUUAUGCAGUUCUAGUAUAGUUAGUGUUGACUAGGGACAAACAUUGUAACAUAAAACGUGUUUUUUAUUGAAAGAAGAUACAAGUAUUUUGAUUAAAUCUAUAAUAAAUAUAUCGAAAAUCAGUGAUAAUUUACUUUAUAAAAUUUAUUAAAACUGUUCAUGGAAAAUAACUGCAAGUUGUUAAUUACCGUGUCAUAGUUUGGUUUACCACUGAUUAAAAAUCAAUAGGAUUAAGUACAGGGAUAUUGCCCGUAGGUAAUAUUGUUUAUGACAGGAACAUUUAUUUUCACAUCUUAUACUUAUAUCGUAAUAAGGGAAUUGAGCUUUCAAUCAUAAAGUUUUGAAUGCCUUAUAGGAUUCAAACAAGAAUUUAUAAAUUGUAAAACAAACACAUAAUUAGUUGUCUCUGUCCAUUAUUGUAAUCGAAGUUAUCAAUGAACACUUUACCCUAGAAUGACCAAGCGAGGAUUUUGACGAUUCAAAACUUUUUCAAUUAAUUCCUUCUUUUUUUUGUUUUUUUUUGUUAUUAUUGAUCAAACCAAGGAGGUUAUAUGAUAUCCUAAAUCAAAAAGAAAUCCACGAAUUACGUAUCUAAUUUGUUGUUGUUGUAAUCAGCGAUCCACGAAUUUACGUAU